ensembl:lncRNA
CGUCCAUAAUGGACAAGUCUACAGAGACAGAAAGUGAAUUAGCAGUUGUGUCGGGCCAGGGAUGGGCAGAGGAAAGCAAAGUGAUCACUGUGGCACAGAAGUUAAAAUGUCUACCUGCAAUGUGGGAGACCUGGGUUCGAUCCCUGGGUCGGGAAGAUCCCCUGGAGAAGGAAAUGGCAACUCACUUCAGUAUUCUUGCCUGGAGAAUCCCAUGGAUGGAGGAGCUUGGUGGGCUACAGUCCAUGGGUUGCAAAGAGUCGGACACGACUGAGCGACUUCACUUUCGCUUUCAUAUAGUGAGCGUCUUCCUGCCUCUCCUGAUGGAAAUUGCUCUUGUGGGAAGGCCCAUCUUCUCUGGCUGUGAAUGUCUUUUCGUUCAUAUGGGUCUGUGUGGCCUUGCUUUGUGAAGCCUUCUGUUUUCCCAAACUCACAGGUCAGGGAACCGAAGCCCAGAAAGGUGAAUUAACUCAUCCCAAAUCACACAGUGAGCAGCAGCCAUAGAUGCAACCUUGGGUCAUCUAAGACCUUAGCCCAGGCUCUCAGCCAGCACAUAAUACAGUGGCUUGUCGCUGGGAACUUCACAUGUCGUGCACACCACGCACCGAUAUACACCAACUCUACAUUGUCUUGUUAUCACUCCCAGAAGCCUUUAUUCCACAGAGGGUGUCAAAAAAUAAAC